UACGUAGGGUGCGAGCGUUAAUCGGAAUUACUGGGCGUAAAGCGUGCGCAGGCGGUUCGUUGUGUCGGCGGUGAAAGCCCCGGGCUUAACCUGGGAAUGGCCGUUGAAACUGGCGAACUGGAGUGUGGCAGAGGGGGGGUGGAAUUCCCGGUGUAGCGGUGAAAUGCGUAGAGAUCGGGAGGAACACCAGUGGCGAAGGCGGCUACCUGGACCAGCACUGACACUGAGGCACGAAAGCGUGGGGAGCAAACAGG
rnacentral:rRNA from 1 species